rnacentral:rRNA from 1 species
GAACGCAAGUUGCGCCCGAGGCCAGUCGGCCAAGGGCACGUUCGCCUGGGCGUCAAAC